rnacentral:rRNA from 1 species
GCAGUCGAACGAUGAUCCCAGCUUGCUGGGGGAUUAGUGGCGAACGGGUGAGUAACACGUGAGUAACCUGCCCUUGACUCUGGGAUAAGCCUGGGAAACUGGGUCUAAUACCGGAUAUGACUCCUCAUCGCAUGGUGGGGGGUGGAAAGCUUUUGUGGUUUUGGAUGGACUCGCGGCCUAUCAGCUUGUUGGUGGGGUAAUGGCCUACCAAGGCGACGACGGGUAGCCGGCCUGAGAGGGUGACCGGCCACACUGGGACUGAGACACGGCCCAGACUCCUACGGGAGGCAGCAGUGGGGAAUAUUGCACAAUGGGCGCAAGCCUGAUGCAGCGACGCCGCGUGAGGGAUGACGGCCUUCGGGUUGUAAACCUCUUUCAGUAGGGAAGAAGCGUAAGUGACGGUACCUGCAGAAGAAGCGCCGGCUAACUACGUGCCAGCAGCCGCGGUAAUACGUAGGGCGCAAGCGUUAUCCGGAAUUAUUGGGCGUAAAGAGCUCGUAGGCGGUUUGUCGCGUCUGCUGUGAAAGACCGGGGCUCAACUCCGGUUCUGCAGUGGGUACGGGCAGACUAGAGUGCAGUAGGGGAGACUGGAAUUCCUGGUGUAGCGGUGAAAUGCGCAGAUAUCAGGAGGAACACCGAUGGCGAAGGCAGGUCUCUGGGCUGUAACUGACGCUGAGGAGCGAAAGCAU